GACGGGGGGGGCAAGUGUUCUUCGGAAUGACUGGGCGUAAAGGGCACGUAGGCGGUGAAUCGGGUUGAAAGUGAAAGUCGCCAAAAACUGGCGGAAUGCUCUCGAAACCAAUUCACUUGAGUGAGACAGAGGAGAGUGGAAUUUCGUGUGUAGGGGUGAAAUCCGUAGAUCUACGAAGGAACGCCAAAAGCGAAGGCAGCUCUCUGGGUCCCUACUGACGCUGAGGCUCGAAAGCGUGGGGAGCAAACAGG
rnacentral:rRNA from 1 species